AAGGGAGACCUAAUUCAGGUAGGAGACGAAAAAAAAGUAGUCGCUACCAAGAAUCAAUCCCAAAGGGUCGGAGCGAGGCGAAAUUGGCUUUCAAACUAGGUUCUGGGUUCACACAAGACCUGAAUCAGGAACAAGGGCUAUUAGCUCAGGUGGUUAGAGCGCACCCCUGAUAAGGGUGAGGUCCCCGGUUCGAGUCCAGGAUGGCCCACCUGUACAGGUGGCAAAAAGAAAGAAAAGAAGCGAGGAAUCAGCACCUUAUCUUACUGACAUAGUAAGAGAGAACGCUGGCUCUGAGUAAAGAGUCCAGAGGAACCUUGAAAACUGCAUAGAGCUAGGUGAAAAAGCCAAAAAAGAAGACCGCAA
rnacentral:tRNA from 1 species